AUGGCGCCCUCCGCGCGGAGCCCCCUUCCUCUGCUACUCCUCCUUCUUCUCUGCCGCCGAGCUGCACCCCACCUCCAUGGCCAUCGCGCCCCGCCUCGCCGCCUUGGCCUCGCCAAGCUCGCCGGCAGCCGCGAGCUCGCCUGUCCCUGCCAUCCUUCUCCGUUGCGCGCCUCCGGCUGCUCGCUAGCGCCAAGGCACUCCUCUUCCUCCGCGUCCGACCCCGCCAGCAGACCCCGUGCGUCCCUGCACCCCAACUCGUUUCCAACAAAUGGCAGCCCGAUGUUUACCUCCCCGCCAAGUACCAACGACCCUAGAACAUCUUGA
rnacentral:rRNA from 1 species